rnacentral:misc_RNA from 1 species
AGCAGCCGCGGUAAUUCCAGCUCCAAUAGCGUAUAUUAAAGUUGUUGCAGUUAAAAAGCUCGUAGUUGAAUUUCGGGAUUGGCGCAUCGGUCGUGCCUCACGGGGUAUGAACUGGUGCAGUCAAUUUCUCACCUUCUGGAGAACCGCGAUGUCCUUAAUUGGAUGCCGCGGGGAACCAGGACCUUUACUUUGAAAAAAUUAGAGUGUUUAAAGCAGGCAUUUUUGCUUGAAUACAUUAGCAUGGAAUAAUAAAAUAGGACGGCAUGGUUCUAUUUUGUUGGUUUCUAGGACCACCGUAAUGAUUAAUAGGGAUAGUUGGGGGCAUUAGUAUUCAAUUGUCAGAGGUGAAAUUCUUGGAUUUAUUGAAGACUAACUACUGCGAAAGCAUUUGCCAAGGAUGUUUUCAUUAAUCAAGAACGAAAGUUAGGGGAUCGAAGACGAUCAGAUACCGUCGUAGUCUUAACCAUAAACUAUGCCGACUAGGAAUCAGACGAUG